AGAUGUGCCCAGAUGGAUUAGCUAGUAGGUGGGGUAAUGGCUCACCUAGGCGACGAUCCCUAGCUGGUCUGAGAGGAUGACCAGCCACACUGGAACUGAGACACGGUCCAGACUCCUACGGGAGGCAGCAGUGGGGAAUAUUGGACAAUGGGCGAAAGCCUGAUCCAGCCAUGCCGCGUGUGUGAAGAAGGUCUUCGGAUUGUAAAGCACUUUAAGUUGGGAGGAAGGGCAUUAACCUAAUACGUUAGUGUUUUGACGUUACCGACAGAAUAAGCACCGGCUAACUCUGUGCCAGCAGCCGCGGUAAUACAGAGGGUGCAAGCGUUAAUCGGAAUUACUGGGCGUAAAGCGCGCGUAGGUGGUUUGUUAAGUUGGAUGUGAAAUCCCCGGGCUCAACCUGGGAACUGCAUUCGAAACUGGCAGGGCUAGAGUCUUGUAGAGGGGGGUAGAAUUCCAGGUGUAGCGGUGAAAUGCGUAGAGAUCUGGAGGAAUACCGGUGGCGAAGGCGGCCCCCUGGACAAAGACUGACGCUCAGGUGCGAAAGCGUGGGGAGCAAACAGGAUUAGAUACCCUGGUAGUCCACGCCGUAAACGAUGUCGACUUGGAGGUUGUUCCCUUGAGGAGUGGCUUCCGGGGCUAACGCGUAAGUCGACCGCCGGGAGACGCCGCAAG
rnacentral:rRNA from 1 species